GAGUUAUAAACUUCGUUAGAUAUCGCUAUUACAAUUUGCUUUCAAUACCUGUUUUAGGUAAUCGCUUCUUGAUCAUUUACGAUUAGGAGGCCGGUGUAAGACGCAAAUUCUUAUUUCGUUCCACAUAUGUAAUUCGCAAUAUUUUUUAAGUGCGAAAUUUGUACGAGACCAAUAUUUUGCGCGAGCUUCUGUAACAGAUACCUGAUUGCCCAGUCUAAAUUUAAUGUAAUUUGUUGUCCCCCGCCUUUCGAAGAAAGCAGGGGACUAUUAAAAUGGGUCUGUCUGUCUGUCUGUCUGUCUGUCCGUCACACUUUUUGGGACACAAUAACUCUCUUCCUAAUUGAGCUAGAAUGUUCAAACUUGGUGUAUGUGUUUAUUAGGUCAAUGCCUUGAUGGAGUUCGAAGAUGAGCAUUUUCCGCUUAGGGUAAGCAGAGAUAAGCAAUUUGAUUGGUUGAUGCUUUGGGACACGAUAACUCUCUUCCUAAUUGGGCUAGAAUGUUCAAACUUGGUGUAUGUGUUGAUUAGGUCAAUGCCUUGAUGGAGUUCGAAGAUGAGCAUUUUCCGCUUAGGGUAAGCAGAGAUAAGCAAUUUGAUUGGUUGAUGCUUUGGGACACGAUAACUUUUAAUUGAGCUAGAAUGUUCAAACUUGGUGUAUGUGUUUAUUAGGGCAAUGCCUUGAUGGAGUUCGAAGAUGAGCAUUUUCCGCUUAGGGUAAGCAGAGAUAAGCAAUUUGAUUGGUUGAUACUUUGGGGCACGAUAACUCUCUUCCUAAUUGAGCUAGAAUGUUCAAACUUGGUGUAUGUGUUGAUUAGGUCAAUGCCUUGAUGGAGUUCGAAGAUGAGCAUUUUCCGCUUAGGGUAAGCAGAGAUAAGCAAUUUGAUUGGUUGAUGCUUUGGGACACGAUAACUUUAGUUCUAAUUAAGUGAGAUUGAUGAAACUUGGUGUAUAGUUUCAUUACAGUAAUACCUUGACUAAGUUUGAUAAUGUCCCCCGCCUUUCGAAGAAAGCAGGGGACUAUUAAAAUGGGUUCGUCCGUCUGUCUGUCUGUCCGUCCGCCUGUCUGUCCGUCACACUUUUUGGGACACAAUAACUCUCCUUCUAAUUGACCUAGAAUGUUCAAACUUGGUGUAGGUGUCUAUUAGGUCAAUGCCUUGAUGGAGUUCGAAGAUGAGCAUUUUCGGCUUAGGGUAAGCCGAGAUAAGCAAUUUGAUUGGUUGAUGCUAUGGGACACGAUGACUUUAGUUCUAAUUACGUGAGAGUGAUGAAACUUGGUGUAUAGUUUCAUUACAUCAAUACCUUGACUAAGUUCGACAAUGAGCAUUUUCUGCUCAGAGUAAGCAGAGCGAUAAGCAAUUUGAUUGGACGAGACUUUGGAACACAAUAACUCUCCUUCUAUUUGAGCUAGAAUGUUCAAACUUGGUGUAGGUGUUUAUUAGGUCAAUGCCUUGAUGGGGUGUGAAGAUGAGCAUUUUCUGCUUAGGGUAAGCAGAGAUAAGCAAUUUGAUUGGUUGAUACUUUGGGACACGAUAACUUUAGUUCUAAUUAAGUGAGAGUGAUGAAACUUGGUGUAUAGUUUCAUUACAUCAAUACCCUGACUAAUUUCGAUGAUGAGAAUUUUCAGCUUAGGCUAAGGAGCAAUAAGCAUUUUGAUUGGUUAAGACUUUGGAACAUAACAACUCUUCUUCUAAUUGAGGUAGAAUGUUAAAACUUGAUGUAGAUGUUCAUCUUGACUUAGUUCAAUGAUUAACAUAUCGUGCUAAAGCUAAGAAGAGAUAAGCAAUUUCCUUGGUCGAUGCUUUGGAACAAGAUAACUUUGAUUCUAUCUGAUAGAGAGUGAUGAAACUUAGUGUAUAGUUUAUAAUCAGUUGAUUGCUGGAUACUUUUGAAAAAAAAUAGAUGUGCGAUUAAUUAAUAUGUGUCAUCUAUUUAUUUGGGGAUUUCGGCGGGGGACAUCAGCCUCACUGUUGGCUUGUUUAGUCAUAUUUAAGUCUUGAUAAUCGAGGCUGUUGUGUCUGCAUGGAGAGACGCCAUGACUUAAAAUUUGUUGGUAGAUUUCUUGGAGCCCAGAUCAGCAUACAAAAUGGUGAGAAACAAUGCAAACUAGGGCCCACACCUUACGCUUACACCCUUUAUUGCUUUAAGGUCAGCUACAUAAAUUAUGUCCCCCAAAACAGCCAGUUUUAUAUAAGUCAAGUCUGUGUUGCUCUGCCCAGUGUUUUAAGGGUUUUGCCGCAGUAAUGCCCAAAGUCCUAAUUCCGUUAAAAUGUUUUGUUUCACGCACGAUGUUGUUACCAUUUAUAGUAUUAUACAUUAUUGUAGUAUUUUAAGGCUUAUUGAUUAUUUGUGUCUUACUGCAAGUUCCAUAGUAACGUUUCUCACACAGUGCAGAUCUAGGCCUUUCUUGGCUACGGCCUGAAUUGCAAACUGACGGCCAUACAGCUAUUUAUGUCCUACUGCAAGUGCCAAAUUAAUGUUUCUCACUCAGUGCGAAGCUAGGCCUAUCUAGGCUAUGUUUUGAAUUCCAAUAGAAGGCUUUACAGGUACACCCUACCUGUCAUAUUAGUUUUAUUUAUAACAGAUAUUUAUUGUUGUAUUAUUGUAUUUUUCAGUCAAUCAUUAAACAUCAAUCAUUAAACAUGCUGCCUUGGAGAAUUAAUUUAGAGAAUUAAAAGUAUUUUAAAAACUGAAUUAAAAUGAGUGCGUGUUACAGGUAGAUUUGUACGUUUUGCCAGUUUGAGUAGAACAGAUCGAACGUGGUCCUUGGUUUGAGUGUUUUGCAAUAUUGACAAUUAGAUAAAUCCACAGUCUUUCAAAAAGGUUGACGAUGCCAUAGCAAAAGGGGCCGCAGCUGUCAGUAAACUAGAAUUUGGCGAUAAAAGGUUCUUUGUAUUGAAAAAGGGGCGGGUUGUACGAUUGCAAGGGGCAAGUCGUGCUUUGUGUUGGGAAUAUAUGACAAUGAUCAAGUGCAGCCCUCCAAUAAUACAAGUCAAGUUUGUUAUGUCAGGGACCAACUUAUUUCCGCAGGUUAUUAACCUAAAUAUUUAUUUAUAUAUUGUUUAAAUAUAAGUUUUAUUAUAUUAUUAGAUAAUAAUUUAAGUGCUGGAGAUAUUGUUUUAUUUUACAUUCCAAAUCAGUGAGGUGGAAGUCAUUUAUACUUUCUAGUUCCAAAUAA